rnacentral:rRNA from 1 species
GAUGAACGCUGGCGGCGUGCCUAAUACAUGCAAGUCGAGCGAACAGACGAGGAGCUUGCUCCUCUGACGUUAGCGGCGGACGGGUGAGUAACACGUGGAUAACCUACCUAUAAGACUGGGAUAACUUCGGGAAACCGGAGCUAAUACCGGAUAAUAUAUUGAACCGCAUGGUUCAAUAGUGAAAGACGGUUUUGCUGUCACUUAUAGAUGGAUCCGCGCCGCAUUAGCUAGUUGGUAAGGUAACGGCUUACCAAGGCAACGAUGCGUAGCCGACCUGAGAGGGUGAUCGGCAACACUGGAACUGAGACACGGUCCAGACUCCUACGGGAGGCAGCAGUAGGGAAUCUUCCGCAAAGGGCGAAAGCCUGACGGAGCAACGCCGCGUGAGUGAUGAAGGUCUUCGGAUCGUAAAACUCUGUUAUUAGGGAAGAACAAAUGUGUAAGUAACUAUGCACGUCUUGACGGUACCUAAUCAGAAAGCCACGGCUAACUACGUG